rnacentral:rRNA from 1 species
ACCGGCUGGAUUCGUUCAGCCGGGGUUGUAGGGCCGGCAUAGGUGAUUCAUGAGUAGGCAGGGGAAAUGAGCUGGAAAGCUCUGCCGGAGCGGGUGACAGCCCCGUACCUGAAACCGAAAGCGACACAGCCGGUACCUGAGUACCGCGAGACACGUGGAACCUCGUGGGAAUCCGGGAGGACCAUCUUCCAAGGCUAAGUACUAACCGACGACCGAUAGUGUACCAGUACCGUGAGGGAAAGGUGAAAAGAACCUCUGUCAGAGGAGUGAAAGAGAAUCUGAAACCUGGUGCUUACAAGCUGUGAGAGCGGACUUGUUCCGUGAUCACGUGCCUUUUGCAUAAUGAGUCAGCGAGUUAAUCUGUACUGCAAGGUUAAGCGUGAGUGGAGCCGUAGGGAAACCGAGUCUGACAAGGGCGACGAGUAGUGCGGAUUAGACCCGAAACCGGGUGAUCUAUCCAUGAGCAGGUUGAAGCAAGGGUAAAACCUUGUGGAGGACCGAACCAAUACCGGCUGAAAACGGUUUGGAUGACUUGUGGAUAGGGGUGAAAGGCCAAUCAAACCCGGUGAUAGCUGGUUCUCCCCGAAAUAUAUUGAGGUAUAGCCUCAUGGAUUGUCUACCGGAGGUAAAGCACUGACAGGGCUAGGGGUCCUACCAGAUUACCAAACCCUAUCAAACUCAGAAUGCCGGUCAGAUGUACCAUGGGAGUCAGACGGCGGGUGCUAAGGUCCGUCGUCGAGAGGGUAAGAGCCCAGAUCAACAGCUAAGGUCUCCAAAUCCAUGCUCAGUGGUUAAGGUGGUGACGUUGUAGAGACACCCAGGACGUUGGCUUAGAAGCAGCCAUCGUUUAAAGAAAGCGUAAUAGCUCACUGGUCUAAUGACGUUGCGCCGAAAAUGUAACGGGGCUAAGCAUGGUACCGAAGCUUUGAAUUCCGCGUAAGCGGUCUGGUAGGGGAGCGUUCUUCACGGGCAGAAGGUGUGUCGCAAGGCAUGCUGGACUGUGGAGAAGUGAUUAUGCUGACAUGAGUAACGAUAAAACGGGUGAAAAACCCGUUCGCCGUAAACCCAAGGUUUUCCGGGUAAAGGUAAUCUUCCCGGAGUUAGUCGGCCCCUAAGGCGAGGCUGAAAGGCGUAGCUGAUGGGAAACGUGUUAAUAUUCACGUACUUGUGUGUUCGCGCGAUGAAGGGACGCAGGAAGAUAGGCAAGCCGGGCGCUGGUUGUCCCGGUGCAAGCGUGUAGGGAUGAGGAGCUGGCAAAUCCGCUUCUCUCUAUCCUGAGACGCGAGUCCGUGCCCGCAAGGGCUGAAGUUGUCGAGUCUAUGCUGCCUAGAAAAGCUUCUAAGUAUAGGACACGCAAACCGUACCGGAAACCAACUCAGGUGGGUGGGAUGAAUAAUCCAAGGCGCUCGAGAGAACUCUGGCCAAGGAACUCGGCAAAAUAACCCCGUACCUUCGGAAGAAGGGGUGCUUUUUAGGGUGAAGCGAUUCACUCUGUCGAGCCCUGAAAAGCCGCAGAGAAAUGGUGGUGGCGACUGUUUACUAAAAACAUAGGUCUGUGCCAAGUCGUAUAGACGACGUAUACGGACUGACGCCUGCCCGGUGCUGGAAGGUUAAAAGGAGGAGUCAGCGCAAGCGAAGCUCCGAAUUGAAGCCCCAGUAAACGGCGGCCGUAACUAUAACGGUCCUAAGGUAGCGAAAUUCCUUGUCGGGUAAGUUCCGACCUGCACGAAUGGCGUAACGAUCUCCACACUGUCUCGGCCAGAGACUCGGUGAAAUUGAAGUCGCGGUGAAAAUGCCGUGUACCCGCAGAAAGACGGAAAGACCCUGUGCACCUUUACUAUAGCUUGACAUUGGGAUUUGAGCCUGCAUGUGUAGCAUAGGUGGGAGCCUGAGAACCCUGUACGCCAGUAUGGGGGGAGGCAACGUUGAAAUACCACCCUUGUUUGUUCAGGUCCCUAACUCUUCGCCGUAAUCCGGUAAGAGGACAGUGUCUGGUGGGUAGUUUGACUGGGGCGGUCGCCUCCCAAAAUGUAACGGAGGCAUGCAAAGGUUCCCUCAGGCUGAUUGGAAACCAGCCGUCGAGUGCAAACGCAGAAGGGAGCUUGACUGCAAGAGAGACAUCUCGAGCAGGUACGAAAGUAGGUGUUAGUGAUCCGGUGAUCCCGAAUGGAAGGGUCAUCGCUCAUUGGAUAAAAGGUACGCCGGGGAUAACAGGCU